rnacentral:rRNA from 1 species
CGAACGCUGGCGGCGUGCCUACUACAUGCAAGUAGAACGCUGAAGGAGGAGCUUGCUCUUCUGGAUGAGUUGCGAACGGGUGAGUAACGCGUAGGUAACCUGCCUGGUAGCGGGGGAUAACUAUUGGAAACGAUAGCUAAUACCGCAUAACAGUAGAUGUUGCAUGACAUUUACUUAAAAGGUGCAAUUGCAUCACUACCAGAUGGACCUGCGUUGUAUUAGCUAGUUGGUGGGGUAACGGCUCACCAAGGCGACGAUACAUAGCCGACCUGAGAGGGUGAUCGGCCACACUGGGACUGAGACACGGCCCAGACUCCUACGGGAGGCAGCAGUAGGGAAUCUUCGGCAAUGGACGGAAGUCUGACCGAGCAACGCCGCGUGAGUGAAGAAGGUUUUCGGAUCGUAAAGCUCUGUUGUAAGAGAAGAACGAGUGUGAGAGUGGAAAGUUCACACUGUGACGGUAUCUUACCAGAAAGGGACGGCUAACUACGUG